UCUCUCUCUACCUCUCAUCAUCUAUCUCUCUCUCUCUCUCUCUCAACCCCACAACCCACAAACUUAUCAACCCCACCAUCACCAACUUCUUCUUUCUUCUUCUUCUUUCAACUUUCACUCACCACCACUUUUCCAUCGAAGCAUCAUCAUCCUCUUCGUCCGGCGAUCACCAUUUUUUCGGGCAAAUCUCCAUUCUUUUUCCCUCUUUCUCCACUAUUUCAAGGACAUAAGUCGACAAAUAUUCGCUCGGGCCUCCAAAAAGGCCAGAGGUUCCACAUUCUCAGCGUCACCACCGCCACUAUCACCACCAUCGGUUGAGUUGCCACGACUGAAGUAGGCUUCACGCCCGCUUCACAAGCUCACACAGUUUAACAUCACAUAUUUUAGCGUGACCCGGUCACUUCUUGGGCCGUUGAGCAGCUCCAACUCCGGCAAUAGUUGGGCCUUUGCACUGUGACAGCGCCCACUUAUCCUCGUAUGGUAUGGCUCUUCUACCAAAACCUAUAUGAGUCACUCACCGAGGUAGGACUACUGUCCACUAUUAAUGGCCAUCUCGUUAGCAUCACAAAAUCCAUAAUUACCGACGUGCUAGGGUUCUUUUCCAAGACGGAACACCAGUCCUUCCCGGAAGUUGUGGACUAACAACUCAUACACAAGCUCAUCCAAGAGUACUUCUCGAGGGCCCUCGGUGAUACAAGUUACACGUGCUUCCGCCGGAGCAAGCUACCUGGCUGUUUGCUAUUCAUUGAUUCCAUGCUAUUUAUUGCUAUUCUUGUAAUAUUGAAAUUACUAAACGUAACUUUUCAAAAAAAAAUCUUAGUAUAUUUUUUUCUAAAAUGUAACAUUCCAUUAUAACACACUAAAAAUUUUUAA